UACAGGGAAAGUGGAACAAGGUGGAUGUAGAUGAGAGGAAGAAAUACUUGUACAUAUUUUGAUUAAAUAUUUCCACAGAAGUACACGCAGUGAAAUGUUUUCUAAGAUCUUGAAACAGUGAGAGUGAUGGAGGAGUAAUUCUGUGGGCAGCACUAUGGUACAUGGUUGAUGUAUAGUCUGCAGGGGAAGCUGUUGAAUUGCAACCAAACUUUGAGUCAAUCAUCUCCACUGCAGUAUCAAAGUCUGCAGUUAGGGGGCGACCUGGGUCCAGACACAGAGCGGCAGGGCACGGUUCAGCUCCAGUGUGGCAGCAUUGAUUUUCUUAUUCAGCUGAAAACUCCACAACAAAGAUUAGUCUCUCUCUUGGAUCCAGGUCCAGGAAACUGUUGUUUAUUCUGUCUCUGGACUUUGUGUGAUUCAGUCUGUUAACUUUGGUUCAGUCUGCAUUUAUUCACUGGUUUUAUAAGUUACCAGAACAACAAAAAGUCCCACCAGGGAAACUUUGGAAAACAAAUAUAAGCCCAAACUGUUGUUUAAUGUUCAGCAGAAGAAGAGCACAUAGUGAGGAAACCACUUAGACAGUUUAGCUCCAUCCAGACAAAUGGAUUUGGCAUCGCUGGGUCAAACAGACAAGAGCAAUGAGUUUCAGACUGAUAGAUAUGCAGGCAUGGAUAAUUACACAGCAAGGAGCUGGUCGUCACGAUCACUGGAUCGGAUCGAGGCUUCACUGACAACACAGUUCACUCAACAGCGGAAAUUAUAUCAUCCGCUAUGUUUCAGGAAGUGAAAGGGACUUUCAACGCAGCGAGAUGACGCCACAAGAGAGAAAUGAGGAAAAAGUUUGAACGCUGGGAGUCAAACUGCUGCUGCUGAGUCCAAAAUGUCAAGAGAGCAACUUUCUGGAGGCCUGAAUUCCUGCAUAGCAAAACUAAAUGUCUGAGAGAAAAGCAGGAAAAGUUUGUGGGCCUACACACUCUGUGCCAAAGCUCUUGUUUUCUGAAAACAAAGCCCAAUUACCCCUGUCCUCUCUCUCACCCUGCACAAUAAAGGCAAAGAACAAAGA